rnacentral:rRNA from 1 species
CCCAGACUCCUACGGGAGGCAGCAGUGGGGAAUAUUGGGCAAUGGGCGCAAGCCUGACCCAGCAACGCCGCGUGAAGGAAGAAGGCCCUCGGGUUGUAAACUUCUUUUGUCAGGGACGAAGUAAGUGACGGUACCUGACGAAUAAGCCACGGCUAACUACGUGCCAGCAGCCGCGGUAAUACGUAGGUGGCAAGCGUUAUCCGGAUUUAUUGGGUGUAAAGGGCGUGUAGGCGGGAAUGCAAGUCAGAUGUGAAAACUAUGGGCUCAACCCAUAGCCUGCAUUUGAAACUGUAUUUCUUGAGUGCUGGAGAGGCAAUCGGAAUUCCGUGUGUAGCGGUGAAAUGCGUAGAUAUACGGAGGAACGCCAGUGGCGAAGGCGGAUUGCUGGACAGUAACUGACGCUGAGGCGCGAAAGCGUGGGGAGCAAACAGGAUUAGAUACCCUCGUA